rnacentral:rRNA from 1 species
UUCCGGUUGAUCCUGCCGCCGGACUGACUGCUAUCGGAUUGAUACUAAGCCAUGCGAGUCAUUGUAGCAAUACAAGGCAGACGGCUCAGUAACGCGUAGUCAACCUAACCUAUGGACGGGAAUAAUCUCGGGAAACUGAGAAUAAUGCCCGAUAGAACAUUAUGCCUGGAAUGGUUUAUGUUCCAAAUGAUUUAUCGCCGUAGGAUGGGACUGCGGCCUAUCAGUUUGUUGGUGAGGUAAUGGCCCACCAAGACUAUUACAGGUACGGGCUCUGAGAGGAGUAGCCCGGAGAUGGGUACUGAGACACGGACCCAGGCCCUAUGGGGCGCAGCAGGCGAGAAAACUUUGCAAUGUGCGAAAGCACGACAAGGUUAAUCCGAGUGGUUUCUGCUAAAGGAACCUUUUGUCAGUCCUAGAAACACCGACGAAUAAGGGGUGGGCAAGUUCUGGUGUCAGCCGCCGCGGUAAAACCAGCACCUCAAGUGGUCAGGAUGAUUAUUGGGCCUAAAGCAUCCGUAGCCGGCGCUAUAAGUUUUCGGUUAAAUCUGUACGCUCAACGUACAGGCUGCCGGGAAUACUGCAGCGCUAGGGAGUGGGAGAGGUAGACGGUACUCGGUAGGAAGGGGUAAAAUCCUCUGAUCUAUUGAUGACCACCUGUGGCGAAGGCGGUCUACCAGAACACGUCCGACGGUGAGGGAUGAAAGCUGGGGGAGCAAACCGGAUUAGAUACCCGGGUAGUCCCAGCUGUAAACUAUGCAAACUCAGUGAUGCAUUGGCUUUAAGGCCAGUGCAGUAUUGCAGGGAAGCCGUUAAGUUUGCCGCCUGGGAAGUACGUACGCAAGUAUGAAACUUAAAGGAAUUGGCGGGGGAGCACCACAAGGGGUGAAGCCUGCGGUUCAAUUGGAGUCAACGCCGGA